UUUAAAAGGCGCGGUUGACUGUUGAGUACGCGGCAGCAAUGAGGAUUAUUCUAAUCCUAACGUAUUCUAUGAUCUUGGCCUAUACACCCCAGACUGUAUGCAUACCAUGUACGCCAUGUAAGGAAUUCACUAACAUGCAUUUCGCCAACUGCCUCGCGGCGGCCCCCUCAAUGUGCGUGUUUGUCAGGGGGCAGGCCAAAACCUUUCUAGUUGCAAAUUGUGAAGUCAAGGUUUUCCACCCACAUGUCGAUAAGCCAAUAUUAAAAACACCAUUCAUAGCCAACUGUGGUAAGUUUUUAUUUUCAUAGCAAUUCUUAAGAAUUAUAAUUAUUUUGUUUUUUGUUCAUAACCUCAUCCCCCCUGAUGACUGAUUUAACUUAGUUUUCGAAGCAUUAAUUUAUGGUAUGUCACAAAAAACACACUUUAACCUUUUCGGAUUAUUGAAGGAAUUUGGUAAACUCCUGUGCCUAACUAAAAAAACAUUUUCAAAUAUUUCCAAAAUAGAAAUAUGUAACAAGCUAUUCAUUAUGUUGUAGACAAGACUACGGUUACCAUACCAACCAAGACCACAGAUGCAGCGGAAACUUCAACAUCAACUACCAAGAAGUUUCUCAUUACUGACAAGACUACGGUUACCGUACCAACCAAGACCACAGAUGCAACGGAAACUUCAACAUCAACUACCCAGAAGUUUCCCAUUAAUGAUGCAGUUUUGUCUACGAAAGUUCCCGGGGGAUUGAGUAAAUUAUUAUCAACCAAAGAUGAUAUCAUUAUGCAUAGUAUCUCACCAACUUUAAUAAUAAUCUUUGCCAUCAUCAUCAUUGCUUACAAGAAAUGUGUAAAUAGACGUUCUAGACAUGAAGUCAAAAGCCAGUCCACAAGCCCCAUAAUCCCUUCUGUAACAGAUUCACCCUCUUCAACUAUUGAAGUCGAAGAUGCAGGAGUGCAGGUGACCCCCACCCAUCAAAAUGAAGUGGAAGAUGUGAGAGUGGAGGUCACACCAUCACGUCCUAUUUGUCCAAAAGGGAGGACACAGCCAAAGAGAAUUGCCAAAGAAAAAAAUGCAAAAAAGAAAUUUGCCAUUUAAAUAAUUAGCAUUUUAUUAUUGCUUUUUAGCAUUGUUGAUUAGACUGAAGUAAUUUGAUUAUGGAUUUAAAAAAAAAUUUCAGGGUAGAAAUUUAGUACCUACUAUUGUACUUGAAAGUCAUACUUUAUCUAAAGAGACAAUCAUU